CAGUCGCCGCGGUAAUACGAAGGGGGCUAGCGUUGUUCGGAAUUACUGGGCGUAAAGCGCACGUAGGCGGAUAUUUAAGUCAGGGGUGAAAUCCCGCAGCUCAACUGCGGAACUGCCUUUGAUACUGGGUAUCUUGAGUAUGGAAGAGGUAAGUGGAAUUCCGAGUGUAGAGGUGAAAUUCGUAGAUAUUCGGAGGAACACCAGUGGCGAAGGCGGCUUACUGGUCCAUUACUGACGCUGAGGUGCGAAAGCGUGGGGAGCAAACAGGAUUAGAUACCCCAGUAGUCCCUGUCUCUUAUAC
rnacentral:rRNA from 1 species